GAGGAAGUAGGUUUUGGGGAUGUAAACUCCUGUCAUUCGGGAGGAUAAUGACGGUACCUGACAAGGAAGCACCGGCUAACUACGUGCCAGCAGCCGCGGUAAAACGUAGGGUGCAAGCGUUGUUCGGAAUUACUGGGUGUAAAGGGAGCGCAGGCGGAUCCGGCAAGUUGGAAGUGAAAUCCCUGGGCUCAACCCGGGAAUUGCUUUCAGAUACUGGCAACGCUUGAGUAGUGCAGAAGUAGGUGGAAUUCCCGGGGGAGGCGGUGGAAUGCGUUAGAUAUCGGGAGGAACCCCGGUGGUGAAGGCGACCUUUUGGGCACCAACUGACGCUGAGGCUCGAAAGCAUGGGUAGCAAACAGGAUUAGAUACCCUGGUAGUCCAUGCCGUAAAGGAUGAUUACUAGGUGUUGGAGGAUUGACCCCUUCAGUGCCGCAGUUAACACAAUAAGUAAUCCACCUGGGGAGUACGACCGCAAGGUUGAAACUCAAAGGAAUUGACGGGGGCCCGCACAAGCAGUGGAGUAUGUGGUUUAAUUCGAAGCAACGCGAAGAACCUUACCAGGUCUUGACAUCCGAUGCAUAGUGCAGAGAUGCAUGAAGUCCUUCGGGACAUCGAGACAGGUGGUGCAUGGUUGUCGUCAGCUCGUGUCGUGAGAUGUUGGGUUAAGUCCCGCAACGAGCGCAACCCUUAUUGCCAGUUACUACGCAAGAGGACUCUGGCGAGACUGCCGUUGACAAAACGGAGGAAGGUGGGGAUGACGUCAAAUCAUCAUGCCCUUUAUGACCUGGGCUACACACGUACUACAAUGGCGUUUAACAAAGAGAAGCAAGACCGCGGGGUGGAGCAAAACUCAGAAACAACGUCUCAGUUCAGAUUGCAGGCUGCAACUCGCCUGCAUGAAGUCGGAAUUGCUAGUAAUCGCGGAUCAGCAUGCCGCGGUGAAUACGUUCCCGGGCCUUGUACACACCGCCCGUCA
rnacentral:rRNA from 1 species